rnacentral:lncRNA from 1 species
CCUCAUUUUACCUUUGUGUCGGAUCUUAUAAUCACCCAACCUCUCUAUUCGUCAUUAUAUUUUAUUAUUUUGAAUACUCGUUUCUUGAUUAUUGAAAAUUGAAAUCACUAAAAUCUGAUUUCGUAAUACCUAAUCCUCGUCGUUUGAGCAGCUUAAUUUUAUAUAUUGUAUCCUCUGUAUGAUCUUGUUGCUUAAUACUUCACAUACUACUCACCUAUUGGAAUGUCCGUUAUAUGCUCGAUAAAAUGCCUAAGAGAAGGCGUGCGUCGUUUUAUCUCUAAUUUUGAUCCCAUUCGAUUAUUAUUGUAAAAAUUGUUUUAUAUAUGUAUUAACCCCUCUGUUUGAAUAUAAAAAUCUUUGUUUAUUAUUUAAAUUCCCGUUCAUGUUAUAUUCUUGGAAUAAUUUAAAUUCUUCAAAAACUCCUUCAUCCUUUUGAUCGCUAUUGGAGGUUCGUCGAAUUUAUUGUUCUAAAUCCCUUUGUGCUCCAUCCCGACCUAAUUGCAUACCAUUAUUUUCUCUUUGCAUGUUCAUUUCGGUUAGCUUAUAGAGAAUCGCGUGUCUCUAUUUUUAGGUCCCGACGAUUGAUUUUCUGCACAUUUUCGACUGGAUAAUUUCUAUCUUUGAAGCUACGUUAAGGUAAGCGACCGAACACCCGUUAGUUUUUGUAAGAUAAUUUAGGAAAAUAUUUUGAUUGUACGAAAAUCUUAUUUUGUAGAAUUUAAAAUUAAGGGUUAAGCAUAUUAUUAAAUAUCUCUGUAUAUUGAGUUUCAAUCGUGAUUGACAAGUUCGUUUAGCAAAAAGAAUUUUUGAAAUCUGAUAAUUUAUUCUGCAAAUUAGUGACUGGAUAUAUUUUGAUUUAUGAUGUCUCUUGGUAUUCUGCUAUGCAAUGUUGGCCAUGUCGACAUGUACUUUGUUAUAGAAGCAAGCUUCGUCUUUGUUUGCACCUUCGGGUGCCUGCGCCUAUCCGCGCCUCUGUUUUGUUCGCGCCUUCGGGUGCCUCUGUUUUGUUUACGCCUUCGGGUGUCUUUGGAUCUUGCCAACGGAUCAUAAGAUAUAGUUAAGUGCCGGAGACAAUAUUUAUUUUGUUUAUAUGUCGAAAGGGAAAUGCUUUGAAAAAUUAUAGUUUCAAUCCGAUCCGAAUUUGAAGUUUUGAUAAAUUCUUAUUUUCUUAAAUCUUGCAAAUUAAAACCAGUCGCUUGAAUUAAUUUGUGUAUCUAGUUAUUUGUAUGCUUAAUCCGACUAAUGUGGUGUAUGGUUGCUUACCCAGGUACUGAGACCGAUUCGCAGGGCGGGGCUGGGAGCGAGUGAACGUUAGAUGUAGCUAGAUUUUAUUCUAGCCUCUUCGUCUUAUUUCUAUUGCAUUUAGAUAUGAACUUUGAACUUCGUAGAUAAUCAUUCGUUUAUCUGUUCCUACUUUAUUGUUUCUUCGUACCUACAAUAUCUGUUAGAACAAUUUCGGUUUGUGUUGCAUCAUAAACUUUAGUUUUGCUUAUAGGAUACUUCAGUUGAUUUUAGUUGCAAUUAAAUUGUUAGCCUCAUCUUUCGACUAUUUGGAUUUAAUAGAAAUUUUUCUUUAUGAUCAUCUUUUGUUUGUUAAUUGUCUGACUUUGUAGCCUUGCAUAUUUACUAAUUUAGUAGAUAUGCGGCAUCUGUUAUGCCUCGGGUUUGGGGCGUGACAGAGAAAUGGUAUCGGAGCUUAGGUUUAAGAUCUUUUGUAACUUUAAGGUAUAGGAUUGUGAGAGUUUAUUAGGACGUGUGAGGAUGGGUAAAAAGUAGGCGCGUGUUUGAUCCUAUUUGAUUAUUGUUUACAGUUUUCGUUAAUGUUUUGCAUUUACGUGUUUGUGAUAUCCUCUCUUGUUAAGAUGGUGCGUCCGACCCGUCGUAACAACACCAAUAAUGAGCAAUCGAGGAACCCGCCUCCAGCCAGAUCCAGAGAUGCAGAUCUAGACAUCACCUUAGCCUCACUUUUGAAUACCACGUCCUCGACAGCCCUUCCACCUAUCCAGAAUCCGCUUCAGUCAACUAUAGCGCCUCCAACGAACCCUUCGGCUUUUGUUCCACUGCUGCAGCAAACCUUCAGUACGGGGAUACCUUCGACGGCCGCUCCCACUACCUUUUCGUUUCCGCCGUCGACUGCACCUUCUGGUUUUGUUCCAUUGCCGCCACAACCUACUAUUCCCACCCACUCCGCCAGUUUACCGCAGAGCGCCACGAUGGACCCCUUGGUUGCCACCCUGAUACAAGCUGUUGUCGGACUAGUUCAGACUCAGCAGCAAAAUUUACAGCAGAAUCCAGCUCCUAGUGCCGCGGAGUCAAGUUCCAGAGUUCGAGAGAGGAGCAUCAACGAAUUUAAGAAGUCUGCUCCUCCACCUUUUUCGGGCGCUACAAACCCGGACGAAGCGGAAAAUUGGAUCAAGGAGAUGGAAAAAGCAUUUACGGCAAUGCAGUGCACCGAUGAAGAGAAAGUCAGAUUCGGGACAUUCAUGCUUCAGGGCAGAGCGAAUAAUUGGUGGGAAAGCGAGUUGAGGACCCGCGGUAGCAAUUUAUCAGCCAUUUCGUGGAAGGAUUUUCGAUCGGCGUUUUAUGCUAAGUACUUUCCAAGGAGUAAACUUCGUCAGCUCGAGAGGCAAUUUCUAGAUCUAAAACAAGGGUCCAUGUCUGUAGAGGAGUACGAGGCCGAGUUUGAUCGACUCUCUCAGUUUGCUCCGAAAUUGGUGGAUGAUAAUGAAUCGCGGGCCAAAAGGUUUGAAGAAGGACUGAAUGGAUAUAUUCGUACUGGCCUCGCACCUCUACACCUUGAGACAUACGACGAAGUUGUUUCGAGGGCAAAAUCCUUAGAUUCAGUAUGGAGACAGACUUGAGAGGAGCGCAAUGCAAAUCAGAAGAAGAGAAAUAGAGAUUCUUUCAGAAAGGGAGAUCGGAAUGCAAGAGGGUCGGACAGAUCUAGUGAUUCUGGGAGAUCGCGUAAUAUGCUAGCUCCUCAUGGUGGACCACCAAAUCGGGAUCAGAAGCCGAAAUGCUCAGUUUGUGGAGGGUCACAUAAGGAUUCCGACUGCAGACAUGUGACUGGUGGUUGCUUCAGAUGCGGCGACUUGAAUCAUCGAAUAGCUCAGUGCCCUUUACUUAGCACUAACUCUAGCACUGGAUCCAAGCCUCAGGAGAAAUUUGCUGCUCCAGCCGAUCAUGAUCGUGCCCCUCCUACUGGUCAGCCUAGAGGUGGAAGGCCUCGGACGCAGGGACGUGUCCAGGCUCUCUCUUGGCAGGAUGCUCAGGCAUCUAAUGCCGUGGUCUCAGGUAUUCUGCCCGUAAAUUCUGCUUUUGCCUAUAUUCUCUUUGAUUCUGGAGCUACACAUUCUUUUGUAUCUUCUGCUUUUGUUCGAAAGUCUAUGUUACCCUCUGAACCUUUGGAUUAUACUUUAUGUGUUGGUACACCUUUGGGGGAGGAGUUUGUGAUUGACCGAGUUUGUAGGAGCAUGGUCAGAUUGGAUAAUAGGAGCUUAUUGGCAAAUCUCCAUGUUAUGGACAUGCGAGACUUUGAUGUGAUUUUGGGGAUGGACUGGCUUUCGUCCCACUUUGCUACUUUGAAUUGUCGGGAGAAGCGGGUGGAAUUCAACAUUCCUGGGGAGGCAAAUUUUGCUUUUCUUGGGAAUGGAGCUUACACCCCACCUCCGAUCAUUUCUUCCUUGCAGGCUACUCGUCUCUUAAGGAGUGGCUGCGCUGGAUUUGUGGCUCUGGUGAAAGAUCUGAAUUUAAUUACUCCGAGAUUAGAAGACAUCCCGGUAGUAAAUGAAUUUCCGGAUGUUUUUCCAGAGGACCUCCCUGGGCUACCGCCAGAUAGGGAGAUUGAAUUUCGUGUUGAUUUAGCUCCAGGAACAAAUCCAAUUUCAAAGACACCUUACCGGAUGUCACCAGUUGAGCUCAAGGAACUGCAAAUGCAACUUCAGGAACUUCUGGACAAGGGAUUCAUCAGACCGAGUGUCUCUCCUUGGGGCGCUCCAGUACUUUUCGUCAAGAAGAAGGAUGGUACUAUGAGAUUAUGUAUCGAUUAUCGUGAGCUAAACAGAAUGACUGUGAAGAAUCGAUACCCCUUACCAAGAAUCGACGACUUAUUUGAUCAGCUUCGAGGUGCAGAAGUCUUUUCCAAGAUUGAUCUACGAUCAGGAUACCAUCAGCUGAAGGUCAGAGCCGAAGAUAUACCCAAAACUGCUUUUCGCACACGCUAUGGGCAUUACGAGUUCCUGGUAAUGCCUUUUGGAUUGACUAACGCUCCAGCCGCUUUCAUGGAUCUGAUGAAUAGAGUAUUCAAACCCUUCUUGGAUAAGUUUGUUGUCGUAUUCAUAGACGACAUUCUGGUGUACUCUAGCAGUUCAGCUGAGCAUAAGAAACAUCUCAGGAUAGUUUUGGAAACUCUUCGACAAAGGAAACUCUACGCUAAGUUUAAAAAGUGUGAAUUUUGGUUGCAAAGUGUUUCCUUCCUCGGACAUAUUGUGUCUAAGGAAGGUAUUUCAGUGGAUCCUUCAAAGAUAGAAGCUGUGAAAAAUUGGCCACGACCAAGCAACGUCACCGAGGUUCGAAGUUUUGUGGGCUUAGCAGGAUACUAUAGAAGAUUUGUGGAAGGUUUCUCCCGCCUAGCUGCACCAUUGACUCAGUUGACACGAAAAGGAGUUAAAUUUCAGUGGUCGGAUAAAUGUGAACAAAGCUUUUUGGAAUUGAAGAAACGCUUAAUAUCAGCACCUAUCCUUACCUUACCUAUUAGUGGUGAGGGAUUCACUAUUUACAGUGAUGCCUCGAAGAAAGGAUUGGGAUGCGUCCUGAUGCAGAAUGACAAAGUGAUUGCCUAUGCUUCCCGACAGCUGAGGCCAUUCGAGGAGAACUACCCGACCCACGACCUAGAAUUGGCAGCAGUAAUCUUUGCACUGAAAAUUUGGAGACAUUACCUCUACGGCGAGCCUUGUGAGAUUUUUACCGACCACAAAAGUUUAAAGUACAUCUUCACACAGAAAGAACUUAACAUGCGACAAAGAAGGUGGCUAGAACUAUUGAAGGACUACGAUGUGACCAUCAAGUAUCAUCCGGGCAAGGCCAACGUCGUAGCGGAUGCCCUCAGCAGAAAAUCAAUAGGGAAUAUAGCGACAUUGGUUACUUCUCAGCGACAUAUUUUAGAGGAUCUCAGACGGCUCGACAUAGAAAUUCACAUCCAUGGGUCUGAAGCUCAUCUAGCUAACCUGCAGGUUCAACCUACACUGAUUGAUAGGAUCAAGUCAGCCCAGGCGAAUGACAUUCAUCUUCAGAAGACACGACAUUUAGUGGAAUCAGGAGCACAAUCGGAGUUUAGAAUUCAUGAAGAUGGCUCUUUGAGAUUUAGGAACCGGUUAUGCGUUCCUAAGAAUCCGGAUUUUAAAAACGAAAUUUUGAAGGAGGCUCAUUAUUCGGGAUAUUCAGUGCAUCCUGGAGGAACCAAAAUGUACAGAGAUUUGAAGAACGUCUUCUGGUGGAGUAACAUGAAAAGGGAGAUCGCAGAGUUCGUGGCUAAGUGUUUGACUUGCCAGCGUGUGAAAAUCGAUAAGCAGAGAUCAGCCGGCUUACUUCAGCCCCUUCCUAUUCCUGAGUGGAAAUGGGAGAGAAUAACUAUGGAUUUUGUUACUCGACUACCUAGAAGUGAGAAGGGCAACGAUGCAAUUUGGGUCAUAGUUGAUAGAUUAACUAAGUCAGCGCACUUUCUGGCGGUAAAGACGGGCAUGACUUUGGAGAAACUAGCGGAGCUCUAUAUUGCACAAAUAGUACGUCUACAUGGUGUUCCAGUUUCGAUCGUGUCUGAUCGUGAUUCAAGGUUCGUGGCUCACUUCUGGAAAGGAUUACAUAAAGCUUUGGGAACCACACUGGACUUCAGUACCGCCUUCCAUCCGCAGACAGAUGGCCAAUCCGAGAGGACGAUUCAAAUUUUAGAAGACAUGUUACGCUCUUGUGUAAUCGAUAUGAAAGGCUCUUGGGAUCAUCACCUACCAUUGGUUGAGUUUGCCUACAAUAAUAGCUUCCAGGCCAGCAUUCAAAUGGCUCCCUUCGAAGCUUUGUAUGGAAAGAAGUGUAGAUCCCCUCUCUGUUGGGAUGAUGUUGGUGAGAGAAAGCUACUUGGUCCGAAAAUUGUGCAACAAACUAUUGAGAAGGUUCAUUUGAUUAAGGAGCAUCUCAGAGCAGCUCAGAAUCGACAGAAGAGCUACGCUGAUAAUCGAAGAAGACCGCUCGAGUUUGAAGUCGGAGACUAUGUCUUCUUGAAAGUGUCACCUUCAAGAGGUAUUAUGCGCUUUGGAAUUCGUGGGAAGCUUAGCCCUCGUUAUGUGGGCCCUUUUGAAAUACUUGAAAGAAUUGGUGACGUAGCGUACAGACUUGCCUUACCGCCUUCUUUAGCUGGAGUGCAUAACGUCUUUCAUGUAUCUAUGUUGAGAAAAUAUGUUCACGAUCCGAGCCACAUUGUAGAGCCGGAACCUUUGCAGCUUAGAGAAGAUCUAUCUUAUGACGAACAGCCGAUACGUAUCGUUGACCGAAAGGAGCAAGUUUUGAGAAGACGGACCAUUCCAUAUGUUAAAGUCCAGUGGAGCAAUCAUUCUGAACGAGAAGCUACUUGGGAACUUGAAGAGUAGAUGAGGACGAAGCACCCUCAACUUUUCGAGAGCUAAGGUGUGUUAAGUUUAGAGGACUAAACUUCUUUUAGGAGGGGUAGAUGUAAUACUCCACACUUUUAACCUUUUGUUUUGACUCCAAUUUACUUUAAGUUUGGACCUUUUCGUAAUUUCGGAUCUUCGAGGGACUCGGUGGCAUUUUGUUGCUUAAUUAGUCCCUAACUAAUUAGGCCCUUUCUUUUGAUACGAACCCCCUACCCGAUCCAUCUCUCUCUUUCGCUCGAUCUCCCUCUCCUCUCUACGCCCGUACGACCUCCGCCGCUUCCCUUGUGCACGCGCGACGCCAUCCGUUCCGUAUCGUCGUCGCCGCCAUCCGUAGCCGCCUCCACCGAAUUUCUCAUUGGCCAUUAUUUUCUUUUGGUUCGUUAUCGACGGAAUCUUGCCGUCGUCUUCACCGUUUUCGAGAAGGUUUUUCUCCUUUCCUCAUUUUACCUUUGUAUCAGAUCUUGUAAUCACCCAACCUCUCUAUUCGUUGUUAUAUUUUAUUAUUUUGAAUACUCGUUUCUUGAUUAUUGAAAAUUGAAAUCACUAAAAUCUGAUUUCGUAAUACCUAAUCCUCGUCGUUUGAGCAGCUUAAUUUUAUAUAUUGUAUCCUCUGUAUGAUCUUGUUGCUUAAUACUUCACAUACUACUCACCUAUUGGAAUGUCCGUUAUAUGCUCGAUAAAAUGCCUAAGAGAAGGCGUGCGUCGUUUUAUCUCUAAUUUUGAUCCCAUUCGAUUAUUAUUGUAAAAAUUGUUUU